UGGCCCAAGGGCAUGGGUGGCAAUGCCCUGUGAGCAUGUGAGGGGUCUGCCUUCCAGAAUCUGAGUGUGAAAAGGGGCCACAGUUCUUACAGAGGGGCCCAGAGGCAGCCGUCCAGAGGCCACGCUCCCACACAGCUGUGGUCCUGUUGUGUGCGAGUCUGAACCCAGCCUUCCCACCCUCUGAGCUUGGGCCUGUGUCCCUGCCCAGCCCCAGCCCUGAGCCUGUGGUGCUACACCUGUUACGGCAUCAGCAGUGUCGGCAAGCUCAGCCAGUGCCAGCCCACCCAGUGCAGCUGGAGCCCUGCUGUCUGCUCUAGGGGCGACCUGACCACAACGCAGCUGGAGUCCUGCUGUCUGCUCUAGGGGCAACCUGACCACAGCCAUGGGCAGUGGUGAGUCCCACCCAAUGCAGCUGGAGUCCUGCUGUCUGCUCUAGGGGCGACCUGACCACAGCCAUGGGCAGUGGGAAGGUGGAGUCGUAUUACACGGACUGUGCCCUUUCCUGCGAGAUAGCUUCCACAGCCAUACGGUGCUGGCGCGACGAUAACCCCUAAGUCUGAAGUGUGGGGCGUGACCUGCUGUGCAAAGGACCUGUGUGAUGGAGUGGCCCCGACGGGGCGCAGCCUCUGGGCCCUGGCUGCGGGUCUCCUGCUCAGCCUGGGCCCUACCUUCCUCUGGGUCCUGCUGUGACCACCCCUGCGGCGAGGACUCUGAUGGGGAGGGGCAUCGUUCGCGAUCGCGGCUCCACGGCGGCGGCAGGGCGGUCCCAGCCCAGCACGCCUGCGCAGACGUGUGCGCUCAGACCCGCGCGUGCUCAGCAAACACAGGCUGUGCCGGGACUCGUCCCCUCGCAGGGCCCGGCGCAGGGGCCCCACCCACCCGGCCAACCCAGCCCCAGGCGCCCAGCUCCCUGCUGUGCCAGGAAGCCUGACGUGUUCUGCAAGCGCUGUCAAUUAACCACUGACUCCAGAUGCAGAAACCGCGCGGCGCUGGUAGGAGAGCGGAGGCCACAGCCCGACCGGCGGGGUCCCACUCACAGCGAAAAUAAACGCUUUCCACAUCCUCCUGAG